CCUACGGGAGGCAGCAGUGAGGAAUAUUGGUCAAUGGGCGGGAGCCUGAACCAGCCAAGUCGCGUGAGGGAAGACGGUCCUACGGAUUGUAAACCUCUUUUGCCGGGGAGCAACGGGGUCCUUGCGAGGGCCCAAUGAGAGUACCCGGAGAAAAAGCAUCGGCUAACUCCGUGCCAGCAGCCGCGGUAAUACGGAGGAUGCGAGCGUUAUCCGGAUUUAUUGGGUUUAAGGGGUGCGUAGGCGGGCUGUUAAGUCAGCGGUCAAAUGUCGGGGCUCAACCCCGGCCCGCCGUUGAAACUGGCAGUCUCGAGUUGGAGAGAAGUAUGCGGAAUGCGCGGUGUAGCGGUGAAAUGCAUAGAUAUCGCGCAGAACUCCGAUUGCGAAGGCAGCAUGCCGGCUCCACACUGACGCUGAGGCACGAAAGCGUGGGUAUCGAACAGGAUUAGAUACCCUUGUAGUC
rnacentral:rRNA from 1 species